CUACACCAUUUAUUGAAAAGAUAGUCUUUACUCCAUUGUAUGCUCUUGCCUCCUUUGUCAAAUAUUAAUUGACCAUAAUGGUUAAGGUCAAUUUCUGGAGUCUCUGUUCUGAUCCAUUCAUCUAUAUGCCUGUUCUUGUGCCAGAACCAGGUUGU